rnacentral:rRNA from 1 species
GACAGAGGGUGCAAACGUUGUUCGGAAUUACUGGGCGUAAAGCGCGUGUAGGCGGCCCUGCAAGUCGGAUGUGAAAUCCCACGGCUCAACCGUGGAAGUGCAUUCGAAACUGCAGGGCUAGAGUCCUGGAGAGGAAGGUGGAAUGCUUGGUGUAGAGGUGAAAUUCGUAGAUAUCAAGCGGAACACCGGUGGCGAAGGCGGUUCUCUGGGCCUGUACUGACGCUGAGGAGCGAAAGCGUGGGGAGCAAACAGG